UCAGGUGAGUGAAAAUAUCUUGGAAUAUGACGGACAAAUUUUGGGAUAUGAAAACUCUCUACUUCACACUUUUCAAACCCCAAGAUCCUAAAAUCUCAGUCACCGCCGUCCAACUCCCAUCCUUCUCCCUCACAAACAACGCCACCACAGUUAAUUUAACCUUCUCCCAAUACGCCUCCGUAAGAAACCCUAACAGAGGAACAUUCUCACACUACGAUAGCUCCUUUCAGCUUCUCUACUAUGGAAGACAAAUCAGUUUCAUAUUUGUCCCUGCCGGGAAGAUCAAUGCAAGGAGUACGGAAUACAUGGUUGCCACGUUUAGUAUUCAGUCUCUUCCGGUGGGGUUGGAGGGGAAUGGUACUGAUGGAGUUAGUAGAGUUGGGCCGAUGAUGGAGAUUGAGUCGACAAUAGAGAUGGCGGGGAGAGUGAGAGUGUUGAAUAUGUUCAGUCAUCAUGUGGAGGCGAAAACUGAAUGCAGAGUCGCCAUUGCCGUUGCCGAUGGAACCGUCAUAGAGUUUGAAAGGAAGGGGUGAAUCACUUGACACAACGGGAGGAAAUUCAUCACCAACUUCGUAUGCCUUAAAGUCACAUACUUACCAACAAUCUUCAAAUCCCCCUGAAAGAUACCCAGUUCCAGAAGCAGGGUUACAUGCUCUUGCUCUGGAUGACUCAAAAGCUUUCUUUACUGACCACCAACCUGUUUCUGUUAAAGAGAAGAAAGAGCAUCUUGUGGUUGCUCGAAACAGUCUUGAAGUUCUCUCUAGCAUAUUAAAUUCUGAGGCAGAGCCAAAACCUUUAAAGGAAGAAUUAACUUUAAGUCUGCUGGAUAAGUGCAACAAUCACUUUAUGUUAUCAAGGAGAUUUUGCAAAGCACAACAAAUGAUGAAGAAACACUUUUUGAGGCUUUAUAUCUCAAUGAUGAGCUGGAGCAGUUAGUUUCUAAGUAUGAGGAGUUGGAAGCUUCUCAAAAUUUAGGGGAACAACAAACACAAAAUGUUGACACUGCCAAGAAUGAUGCAGAAGCUGUUCAAAACCUCAAUGAAAGACUGGAGGUGAUGAUUCUGAAGAACCGUCAAGCAUAAUAGGGAAAGAGUUACUCAAAAUAUUACAAACUAAAUUUUUAAUGAAAUAAAUGGAUACCCCCCUUCAAAACUCCCAAGAUAAAUUUUUACGAUAAAGUUGUUUGUAUUGUUAAAGCUCAGUCAACCUUUUGUUUUGAAACCUUGGUACUACGAGAAGAAUUAUUCCCGAUGGAACUACUCUUAGUCCAUUGACCUUGUAUUGUUAAAG